rnacentral:rRNA from 1 species
UGGGGAAUAUUGCACAAUGGAGGGAACUCUGAUGCAGCGACGCCGCGUGAGUGAUGAAGGAAUUCGUUUCGUAAAACUCUGUUCUAUGGGAAGAAAAGGACUGUACCAUAGGAGAAAGCUCCGGCUAAAUACGUGCCAGCAGCCGCGGUAAUACGUAUGGAGCGAGCGUUGUCCGGAAUUAUUGGGCGUAAAGGGUGCGCAGGCGGCUUUACAAGUUGGAUGUGAAAUAUUGUGGCUCAACCACAAACGUGCAUCCAAAACUGCAAAGCUUGAGUUAAGGAGAGGUAAGGGGAAUUCCUGGUGUAGCGGUGGAAUGCGUAGAUAUCAGGAGGAAUACCGGUGGCGAAGGCGACUUACUGGACUUAAACUGACGCUCAGGCACGAAAGCGUGGGGAGCAAACAGG